AUCAAAAUUCAAAUCCUUUUCAACUCAUAACAAAUUAGCCGAAAUUUUAGGAUCAUGCUGCUAAUUUCAACCUUGCAACCUAGCAAUGUUUCUCAUAUCCAUCGCCCCUUUUCCGCAUCAUCUUGUCACUUCUGUUCCGCCCGAACCACAACCGCGACACCACCGUCUACGAGCACCCUUGCCCCACCAUCUGCAACAGUCGACCUCACCAACGCCAUCAAUCCAAACCAACUGCCAUACUCAGUCGCAAUAGCAUCGCCGCACAACCUUACCGCCAAGAGACGCGACACCACCGUAACACUCCGUUCCGCACACCAUCGAAAGUUGCCGCUGGUUCGAACUCCGAUCAGUCAUACAACCACCGAAAGCUCGCCGUCGCUCCGCUGUGACAACUGCCGCCCUUGGACUAUCAAUUUAGUUCUGAUACGGAUUUCCCCAUACUGCCGCUCACCUUAGUUCCGUUCCGCGCGACCGUCCUAAGCUCUUAUUGUGUGUCUCUGGUUGACUCCGUUCGACUGAUAAGGUUCUUGAUUUUCGGGGUCAACUUGAUUAAUUGGUUUUGCUUUGCUUGCUAAUAAAGGUAAUUUGGGGAAACGUGGAGAAUAAGUGAAGAGUGUAUUGAAGAUAAAGAUUUAUUUUUAUUUCGGUAAUGAAAUGAAAAUGUAAUUAGGAUCUUUUGUUUUAAGCGUUAUGGAUUGGUUUUAGUUUUGAUAUCUUUAUGAGUGACAUGUCAGCCUGUCCAGGUUGGGGUGUUACAUCUUAAUCAUAA